rnacentral:rRNA from 1 species
GAUGAACGCUGGCGGCGUGCCUAAUACAUGCAAGUCGAGCGAACAGACGAGAGUGCUUGCACUCUCUGACGUUAGCGGCGGACGGGUGAGUAACACGUGGGUAACCUACCUAUAAGACUGGGAUAACUUCGGGAAACCGGAGCUAAUACCGGAUAAUAUUUAGCUUCGCAUGAAGCAAUAGUGAAAGACGGUUCUGCUGUCACUUAUAGAUGGACCCGCGGUGUAUUAGCUAGUUGGUGAGGUAACGGCUCACCAAGGCAACGAUACAUAGCCGACCUGAGAGGGUGAUCGGCCACACUGGGACUGGGACACGGCCCAGACUCCUACGGGAGGCAGCAGUAGGGAAUCUUCCGCAAUGGACGAAAGUCUGACGGAGCAAUGCCGCGUGAGUGAAGAAGGUUUUCGGAUCGUAAAACUCUGUUGUAAGGGAAGAACAAGUACGUUAGUAACUGAACGUACCUUGACGGUACCUGACCAGAAAGCCACGGCUAACUACGUG